rnacentral:rRNA from 1 species
AUUGAACGCUGGCGGCAGGCUUAACACAUGCAAGUCGAGCGGAGCGAGGGUGCUUGCACCUUAGCUUAGCGGCGGACGGGUGAGUAAUGCUUAGGAAUCUGCCUAUUAGUGGGGGACAACAUUCCGAAAGGAAUGCUAAUACCGCAUACGCCCUACGGGGAAAGCAGGGAUCUUCGGACCUUGCGCUAAUAGAUGAGCCUAAGUCGGAUUAGCUAGUUGGUGGGUAAAGGCCUACCAAGGCGACGAUCUGUAGCGGGUCUGAGAGGAUGAUCCGCCACACUGGGACUGAGACACGGCCCAGACUCCUACGGGAGGCAGCAGUGGGGAAUAUUGGACAAUGGGCGCAAGCCUGAUCCAGCCAUGCCGCGUGUGUGAAGAAGGCCUUUUGGUUGUAAAGCACUUUAAGCGAGGAGGAGGCUACUUAGAUUAAUACUCUAGGAUAGUGGACGUUACUCGCAGAAUAAGCACCGGCUAACUCUGUGCCAGCAGCCG